GAACACUGGGUUAUAUCACAUCACUUUUGGUAGAUGGCAGAAGGGUGUUGGCUAUGUCAUUUUGGCUGCAAAGCACGUGCUUCUGUGUAAGGUUUCAGUUCCCGUAUCAGGAAAAAUGCAAGUGAAAAGGAAGCCCUGUAUGCAUAGGAAUUAAAUACGGCUCUCCCAAAGAUGCAAGGUGCCACAUUCUCCCUUCUCUCCAGCUCCUCAAAGCAACCACCGGCCAAAAGCAACAAACUUUAGGCCAUUUGCUGUGCCCAAAAAGUGAGAGGGCAGAAGAAAGUGUGGGAGAAGAAGAUAAACACACAACUGUUUGUCAACAUGAGUGAAAAAAACUGAGAAGAGCAAGAGCAGAGAGAUUCCCAGGGAAGGAAGAAAAGGCACCCUCUCAAAGGGCUGUCCAGCUCAAUCAUUAAACAGCUUCCACUGAUUCUUUAGCACCUCAGAUGCCGGAAAGGUAAGCCAGUUUCCUCUCAUCUCAUUUUUCCUUAACUUCUUUAAUGUUGCAAGGGUUUUCGGAAGGAGCCAUCUUCAAAUAUUAGCUGGUGGAGAAAUGCUAGCUUUUUUGUGAAUCAUUUUUCUGACAAUGGCAUGCAUCACAGAUGUGACCAUGGCAAGAACCCCUGAACACUGAAAACUACAGAGAGUUACAUGCAGAAGAACCCAGAUUCAGUUAGGCCAUUUUCUGAAUCUAACUGAAUCAACAGUAUUCAGUUCUUGAAUGAAGAUUUGGACAAAUUUUAAGCGCUGCCCCACUUAUUGUCCUGCUUUCCCUCUCAUCUGUCCCAGGCUGCUAAUAUUUACUUCAAACAAUCUAAAACAAGCAUCUCUCUCUCUCUCUCUCUCUCUCUCUCUCUCUCUCUCUCUCUCUCUCUGUUAGCAACCAUAGAGCUACUGGCCCCUCAAAUUUCAUUAACUUGUAGAUGCAUGUAGAGUUUGGGGGACUCAGUUUCCCAAAUUUCUCCAGAGGGGAGAGAAAUUCUCCAACCAUUUCUGACACAUUUCUCUUUUGUGCUCAUGGCAUAAUGGGACAGUUUUGGACCCCCAAGUUAUCAGCUUCCUCUUCCUUCUCUUCUAACACCUUUUCUCUUUUGUGUCACAUCCUCCAGAUCGAAAGUCCAAAGGUGGGGCCUGUGCCCUUUUUAUGACUUUGCCUUCAUACAGGAACCAGGAAAUAUUAGGAGUAAUAUGAAGGUAAGUAUAGUGUUUAGCCAGCAUUUCUUUGCAAGAAAUGCUGCAGGUGUUGGAGCAGCUCCC